UACGUAGGGGGCAAGCGUUGUCCGGAAUCAUUGGGCGUAAAGAGCGCGUAGGCGGCCCGGUAAGUCCGCUGUGAAAGUCAAAGGCUCAACCUUUGAAUGUCAGCGGAUACUGCCGGGCUAGAGUCCGGAAGAGGCGAGUGGAACUCCUGGUGUAGCGGUGGAAUGCGCAGAUAUCAGGAAGAACACCAACGGCGAAGGCAGCUCGCUGGGACGGAACUGACGCUGAGGCGCGAAAGCGUGGGGAGCGAUCCGG
rnacentral:rRNA from 1 species